CAGCAGCCGCGGGAAAACCAGCACCUCGAGUGGUCAGGAGGUUUAUUGGGCCUAAAGCAUCCGUAGCCGGUUGCAUAAGUUUUCGGUUAAAUCUAUGCGCUUAACGUAUAGGCCGCCGAAAAUACUGUGCAGCUAGGGAGUGGGAGAGGUACACGGUACUCGAUAGGAAGGGGUAAAAUCCUUUGAUCUAUUGAUGACCACCUGUGGCGAAGGCGGUGUACCAGAACACGUUCGACGGUGAGGGAUGAAAGCUGGGGGAGCAAACCGGAUUAGAUACCCCAGUAGUCCCUGUCUCUUAUAC
rnacentral:rRNA from 1 species